CCUACGGGAGGCUGCAGUGGGGAAUAUUGGACAAUGGGGGCAACCCUGAUCCAGCCAUGCCGCGUGUGUGAAGAAGGCCCUCGGGUUGUAAAGCACUUUCAGUGAGGAAGAACGCCUGGUGGUUAAUACCCAUCAGGAAAGACAUCACUCACAGAAGAAGCACCGGCUAACUCCGUGCCAGCAGCCGCGGUAAUACGGAGGGUGCGAGCGUUAAUCGGAAUUACUGGGCGUAAAGCGCGCGUAGGUGGCUUGAUAAGCCGGUUGUGAAAGCCCCGGGCUCAACCUGGGAACGGCAUCCGGAACUGUCAAGCUAGAGUGCAGGAGAGGAAGGUAGAAUUCCCGGUGUAGCGGUGAAAUGCGUAGAGAUCGGGAGGAAUACCAGUGGCGAAGGCGGCCUUCUGGACUGACACUGACACUGAGGUGCGAAAGCGUGGGUAGCAAACAGGAUUAGAUAACCGAGUAGUC
rnacentral:rRNA from 1 species